rnacentral:sRNA from 1 species
ACAAUAUCUGAGCUACAUCUGUUCAUCCCAAACCAACAGCCCGCACGUUGAAGAGAAAUGGAUAAGAAAUUUGAAGUUCUGAAUCAUUCAAUGGUAAUUUUCUUUUGAAAGCAGGGACCUCUUUUUUUUUUUUCUUUUUUCAAGUGAGCUCUUGUCUCACAAGAUCAAUAUAAUAUAUAUCUUAGCCUGAUUGAGAACAGGCAAACACACAAUGACCAUUGUUUUGUUUCCAAAGGAAUCAAUCCAAUCGUCGCCGCGCAGUUAAAAUUGACCAUCCUGAACACCUGCUGGCUGACCUCAUAAACGGAUUGGGAUAUGUAUGGCAAUAUGGAAGAAGCGACAAAACGCACAAGAAGGUCAAAUAAGAGGAAGGGACGGACACAAUCUAUGGUUAUGAUACAACAUGUAAAAAAAAAAAAAAAAAAAAAAAAAAAAAAUCGAUCCUGUUCUAUACAAAAGAAAACCAGAUUCGACGAACUUGUGCCAUUUCAGCGCGUAUUAUUAUUACCCUCCGAGAAAAC